rnacentral:rRNA from 1 species
GAUGAACGCUAGCUACAGGCUUAACACAUGCAAGUCGAGGGGAAACGACAUCGAAAGCUUGCUUUUGAUGGGCGUCGACCGGCGCACGGGUGAGUAACGCGUAUCCAACCUGCCCACCACUUGGGGAUAACCUUGCGAAAGUAAGACUAAUACCCAAUGAUAUCUCUAGAAGACAUCUGAAAGAGAUUAAAGAUUUAUCGGUGAUGGAUGGGGAUGCGUCUGAUUAGCUUGUUGGCGGGGUAACGGCCCACCAAGGCAACGAUCAGUAGGGGUUCUGAGAGGAAGGUCCCCCACAUUGGAACUGAGACACGGUCCAAACUCCUACGGGAGGCAGCAGUGAGGAAUAUUGGUCAAUGGGCGAGAGCCUGAACCAGCCAAGUAGCGUGCAGGAUGACGGCCCUAUGGGUUGUAAACUGCUUUUAUAAGGGAAUAAAGUGGGGCUCGUGAGCUCUUUUGCAUGUACCUUAUGAAUAAGGACCGGCUAAUUCCGUGCCAGCAGCCG